GGCCCCUUCGUCUAACGGUUAGGACACCGCCCUUUCACGGCGGCAAUACGGGUUCGAAUCCCGUAGGGGUCACCA
rnacentral:tRNA from 1 species